ensembl:antisense A230107N01Rik RIKEN cDNA A230107N01 gene
GGGGCUGACCUUGAGAACGCAGGGGCGCAGGCGCACAGUACCUUGGAAUCUCAGUUAAAAAUUCAUGCUGUCCAAGCACCUUCCUCUCUUAGGUCAAUGGAAUGUGACCUUUAGAAGUUCUUUGCUCUUCACAGACGCCAGCUCAAGCCAGAGGAUAUCUACAAAGAGCAGAGGAGCUAAGAAGAAAAUUCAGUAUGGACAUUUCCUACCUACUUAAUACCAAUAUGAACAAAAAGGGCCUUACAACAUUCUCAUAUACAUACAUACAUAAAUACACACACAUUUAUGCUUUAUGACACCUCCCUCCUUCCAAAUCUGUACCAGUGAACUUGCCUUUAUAUUGUGAUGAGGGUUAACCAUAGAGGUAAGUUUGAAAUAAGGACACAGAGCAUCUUUGGCCCAGAAAUUAUCACACCGUUUAACGAUCCUUAUGGAAACAUGCUUAUCUCACCCUUCUCCGUGAGAUACCUUUUACCAUAAUGUGGUUCUCUUGUGGAGUCAGAACUGGGGAGGAAAUUCAUCUUCAGCAGUCAAGGUUGCACAAACUUGCAACUAUGAAACAGCUAUGAUGUUCAACCUCUAACUGGCCCAAGGACCCUGGGAAACAAUCCUGAGCUACCUAGAGAUGUUAGAUUGGUGCUGUUUCAAAAGGAUACAGAAACAAAGUUUAUACAUUAUGUUAAUUUUUAAUGGUGGGGGGAGAUAGGGUGACAGGUGAUAGAGAAAUUAUAAGAAAUGAGAGAAGCUACUCCGAGACCAAUAGCCUUGAGGAAUAGUUUGUGAAACUGAGAACUUCCCCAAGGGUUCUGUUACUGCUUUAUAGAAACAAGCCUGUUAAUAGACAGGCCCCAGGGCAACUGCAGUAUAGUAAAGAAGGACUCCGGUUGACCGCUCCUGUAUCUGGGGGAAGCCAUUGCUAUCCUUGAGAAAGAAAAGAUGGAGGUGGCGAGUGCCUAUCAGCCUGUCAGUGACAUCACAUUCUGUGAAGUCUUGUCUUUCACUUGUGACACAGUGGGUCUUCCAUCUGUCCUAAACCUGGCAGCCUUGUUAAGGAUCAGAAAACAUCUUCUCCUAUAUGACAGUAGGAUAGGAAUUAUUAGCAGGAUAGAAUCCAUUCCUGCCAGAGGAAAAACAAGAAAUCAGUUUUUACUACCUUAUUACUUUCAAUAGACUGUCAGAUUCUAUAUUCUCUAUUUUGUACAUGGCGCAUUGAUUAACAAUCCUUGGUUAAAAUACUUUAGUUUCACAUAGUGUGUAUAUGUUUACAUUUACAACUGUAUCAAGUCUUUUUGUCCUAUUAAAAAACAAUAUAUUCUACUAAUUACCUGUUUUUUUUUAUUGACCAUUUUCUAUUUCUUAAAUGUAUAGAAGUCUUUGACAAAGAUUCAGAGAAAGAAUUAUGAAAAGGAAAGAGAGGAAAUGUGAUGAUGAAGAUGAAAAGAUCUUUUUGGCAAAUUAGUUAUGAUCACAGUCUUUGAUAAAAGUCAUGGCUGCUUACCAUGUGGGGUUUGUGAUAAUUUAAAAUGUCCUCUCUACGAACUGAUCUCAGAUGUGUAUAAAUAUCAACAGAAUAGUAUUUACAUGAGCACUCUGGCCUGAAACUCUUCCAAUUUUAAAAAUCAAUUUUUAAAAGUCUUAAACCGUCUUAACAAAAUGUGUUAAUAGUUUUACCUCUAAAAAAAAUUCAAACACUUUUCUCUUUCCUUUACUGAAUAUGAUAUGUUUUAUUCUGUGAUUUCUAUUUCUUGUAAAUGGUAAUUAGUCUGUAACUAUGUGGAAAGUUGGGUUUUGUUUCCUUAGGUAAAUUGUACUUAAAAUUCUUUAUUGGCCAUCUUAGAAAAAUCAUGUACCAGUAACAAUGAUUUAUUGGUCAUGUUCUGCCAUAUAUGGUUAGUGGAACAUUUUGCAAUUGUUCCAAAAAGCCACUAGAGGAAAAUGGUUGCCUUUUAAGUAGGAUCAGAGGAUGGGACCUUUGUGGUGUGCUGAGUGUCCUUGUCAGAGAGAGAAGAACUUGCUUCCUCGUUGUUUAUUCUGCACCAUGUGAGAACUUAGUCACAACUCAUUUGCCAACAACAAAGGGGUCCAUUUUCACCCCCACCAGUGAUACAUAUGGGAACUAAUUUUGUGGUUUAAAUCACUCAGUUUAUGGUACUUUUGUUAUAGUAUCCAAAGUAAAGAAUGCAAAAUUGUGUUCAGUGUAAUUGCUUUGACGUGAAUAAAAAGCCCUACACUCACAGAGAAAGAUAAUUGAAAAUGUAUCCAUUACCAUUCAGCAUUCAUUUUCUAAACUGUUCUAUUUGAAACAAUUAUUAAAAAAAAUUGUCCAUCAAUAAAGCUUCUUAAAGCCU